AUUAAACGCUGGCGGCAUGCCUUACACAUGCAAGUCGAACGGCAGCACGGGGCAACCUGGUGGCGAGUGGCGAACGGGUGAGUAAUAGGUAGGAGACCUACCUCAUACAGGGGGAUAGCAUAGAGAAAUCUGUGGUAAUACCCCAUGAGGUUAUAUGAAUAGAGGCAUAUAAUCAAAGCAUAAGUGAUUAUGCGGUAUGAGAGGGGCCUACUGACCAUUAGCUAGUUGGUGAGGUAAGGGCUCACCAAGGCGAAGAUGGUUAGGGGUUUUGAGAGAGAGACCCCCCACAUUGGAACUGAGAGACGGCCCAGACUCCUACGGGAGGCAGCAGUCGAGAAUAGUCUACAAUGGCCGGAAGGCUGAUAGUGCGACGCCGCGUGAACGAGGGAGCCCUUCGGGUGUAAAGUUCUUUCUAUACGAGCAGUGCUAUAUAUAUGGAUAGUAUAUAUAGAGGGAGUAGUAGUAUAGGAAUAAGCAACGGCUAACUCCG
rnacentral:rRNA from 1 species